UGAUAGUAAUAAUUAUAAGCAGGAAAGCAAUAACUAAGGUAGCUACGAGCAGCAUCUUUAAUGGGCCAAACGUUUCGACAUUUCAUCUUAUGUCAUCAUCAGUGGUCUAAAAUAAAAUAAAACAAUAAAACAAA